UAUAUAUAGCAGGUCUCAAAAAUAAAAAUAUAACGUGUGAUCUCACAAUUCUGUCGUUUCCAUGGUAAUUAAAACAUAAUGAAGGAGUCGACAGCUGUCCAAGUCUGGUGAUGUUCACCCAGUAAACAGAAAUGUUCCCAAGAGUCUCCAAAGAUGUGGCCCUGUCCAUAUCCUGUCAAUUCAUCUGCCAGCCUGGAGACACUGAGCCUUGGCAACGAGGACAGGAAUGGCAUCACAAUCAGGCAAGGUCAGAGUGUCAGAGCUGUGCCCAGGUUCAGCACAGAUCAGCAGAUGCCAGAGGGAAAGUGUCUACAUUUGCCCUUGCUCUAAUGCCAGCAUUGAAGCCUCAAAUCUACCAAGGAGCUAGAAAACUCAGGAACCAUCACUGCCCUACCGUCCUCACCAAGUACAGCACUGAUCUUCCACUCAGUAUGAGAAGACAGAAGCACUGACAGGAGCCAGGCACACAGGCCGUGCAGCAGGGACUCCGUGGCUGGCACACUAGAGUGGAAGACCUUGAACCUCCUAAAUUCUGAAUCAUGUGACUACAUUACUAUUCAAAGAUGACACACAUGGAUUAAAGGAAAGCACACUCCUGUCUGGAAA